AUGGCUGCUCCAAGUGUAUAGGAAGUUCUACCACCAUCUCUGGAUUCUACUUCUCAACCCCCGUCUCUCUUUGAUGGAACUACCAGGUUGUAUAUCAGUUAUCAAUGCCCCUAUGCUCAACGUGUGUGGAUUACCAGGAAUGUUAAGGGCUUGCAAGACAAGAUCAACUUAGUUCCAAUUGAUCUUCAGAACAGGCCUGAUUGGUACAAGGAAAAAGUUUACCCCCCAAAUAAGGUGCCAUCCCUGGAGCACAACAACAAAGUGAUAGGAGAGAGUUUGGAUCUGGUUAAAUAUAUUGAUAGCAACUUUGAAGGACCAUCACUUUUGCCGGAUGAUCCUGAAAAGCAGAAAUUUGCUGAAGAAUUGAUAGCUUAUAGUGAUACAUUCGUCCCGGAAAUAUAUAGAUCGUUCAUGAGAGAUGCACAGACAUUGGCUGGUGCACAAUUCGAUUACCUAGAAAAAGCUCUCGGCAAAUUUGACGAUGGACCUUUCUUCCUCGGUCAAUUCAGUCAGGUUGACAUAGCAUAUGUUCCAUUUAUCGAAAGGUUUCAAAUUUUCAUACCAGCGGGGUUUAACUAUGACAUUACAUCCGGGAGGCCUAAACUAGCCAAAUGGAUUGAGGAAAUGGACAAGCUUGACGGAUACAAGCAAACAAAGGUCUUGGAACCGGAGAAACUGGUUGAAUACUACAAGAACCUCUUUCUGAAGGCUUGAAACUUCAAAAAUGCAUUGAUCAAUCACUGGUGAAAGUUACAUGGGAUAGUUCUUUGGUAUCAAAUAUGCUGUGGAAUUCUAUAAUGUUAUGCAUCAGUAAUAAAUUGUCUCUAUGUUUUUCUUCAUCUGUAGUGUUUGGUAUUUGUAUUUUCCUAUUAGAGAGACUUGUAUUAUCAUUAGAUGUAACUUUCAUGUAUCUGUAAUUUCACGGAUGGUCAUUCAACUUUUAUUUUUCGAUUUUA